CCGCUCCGUGCGCCAAUCUUAUCGUCGCCGUGAUUUCAGGUGCUGUCAUUGCUACAAGCAAGCUAAAGGGCACGGCAUACCGCGGGAUGCAUCCUUCCGGCAAACGUUUGCUGUCCGCGCAAAACGGUAAGGAAUCGGUACGAUUCUAGUUGAGGCUUAUCGCGCGGAUCUCUACGUUGCCGAUUUGACGAUUCCCCUCCCACCGGCUGACAUAUAACAUACAAAUCAACAGCUCCGUUGUAUUAAUGAUACUUUAUCCCCGUUGUAUCUGGGCUGUCAAGGUAUUUUUGUUCGAUUCUAUCGUGCAAUCAAACGCUAAGAUUGUAAUGUCGAUUCGACGGUCGCUUUAUCAUAUAUUCGCGUGCUAUGACUCCUACCUGUUUGCUUACCUUAAAAAAAUGUUAUUAAUUCUGCUGCGUUUUCCGGCCAACCUCGGCCUCUGUUUCCCGGUGGCGUUCUCCGAAUGCAUUUGGCGUGUC
rnacentral:lncRNA from 1 species